AGGACGAAACGCUGGCGGCGUGCUUAACACAUGCAAGUCGAACGAGAUCCUUCGGGGUCUAGUGGCGAACGGGUGAGUAACACGUGAGCAACCUGCCCUUGGCUCUGGGAUAGCCUCCGGAAACGGGGAUUAAUACCGGACAUGACCUUGGAUCGCAUGAUCUCGGGUGGAAAGUUUUCGGCCAGGGAGGGGCUCGCGGCCUAUCAGCGUUGGUUGGGGGGUAACCGGCCCACCGAAGGCGACGGACGGGUAG
rnacentral:rRNA from 1 species